rnacentral:rRNA from 1 species
AGUUAACGUCAAUGCAUGCAUUUAUUAAAUACACGCCCUUCUUCACCAUUGAAAGUGCUUUACAACCCUCAGGCCUUCUUCACACACGCGGCAUUGCUGGAUCAGGCUUGCGCCCAUUGUCCAAUAUUCCCCA